GCUUGGCUUAGUGGUUAGAGUGUUGGACUAGGGCUUGGGAGACCAUGGUUCAAAUCCCUGCUCAUCCAUGGAACA